AUUUUUGACGUUUUUGAUGAUUAUUGAGUUGAAUAUUGUGUUAUAUUGAUGUAGAAACAUGUCGGAAUGAGUUAGGGAUGUCGGGAGCAUGUCGAGAUGAUAUUUGGGGCUGUUUUAUGGUGUCGCACGACGUGCGACAAGGUCUCACGACGUGCGACAUAACCUCGCGACGCGAGCGGACUUGCGAUUGGCAUAAUUUCUUCGUUCGGACUCGGAAUUGAGCGAUUCUCGUUGCGUUGGAAAGAGGAAAGGAUUGUCUAUCAAUCCUAAGCAUCAUAUCAAGAUGUGACAGACUAUCGAGCUACGAGUAUGACGAACCAAGAAGCUCGAUGAGGAUUGACGGACCAGUCUCCUGGAGCUUACGUUCGGAUAUAAGGAAUAGCGGUCACAGUAUUAGAAGUCGGAUCAGACAAGCCAUCUC